GCCUCUGGAGUUCUCCUCCAUCGACUCCAUACUAUUUGGCGAUCGCUUUAAGGUCUACUUCAAGGUUCUUUAAGUUUCGCCAUGCUUUUUCAUCCGCCGUGAACUCCAUCUUGAUAACUCGUGAUGCUUAUAUCGAUCUGUGCAUUUUUGUCUCUCAAAAUUAACUGAGAAAAAAAAAGGCGAUGGCUCUAAACUCGUAACUUUCAAGCCCUUGUAAGUCAAGACACCGCUGCAUUUACUGGGGAUGUAAAGGCAAUAUCGCAAUAUCUUAAAAUUACCACAAUAUCGCCGUUGUCAUGUUACGAUAUUAAAAGCACCACUUCCGUAAAUAGGCCAGGUCAUUUUCCAUUUGUGCAGUUCCAGUACCCUCUGGUGGUUAAUUUAUUAGUGCAGUUUAAUUUGAAUUAGGCAUGUUUUGGCCACCGACGUAUGUUUGUGCGGCGGUGUAAUUUUGUCACAUGGCACAAAUAGGCCAAUGUUUCUGAUAGAAUAAAUUAUUUUACUCCAAAUAUCGACUUAAAUUACAAAAUUUUGCUUUGAAAAUGUUCACAGAUGAGACUGUUGUGGACCUUUGAGGUACUAUUGUUCGAAGAACACACGAAACUUUCAGUAACAUUUAGUCUUGCUACAUACUAAAUUGCACAAUAGCUUAUGCAACAUUCCUGACGUUUGCACUUGAUUGGAUAUCUAGAUUAACAAUGUCGCCCGAUAUUAAUUAUGUAACUGUGAGGAGUCUCUUCCAGCUCGCGCAAUUAUGAAAUGUGAAACCUGCAUGCUAUCAACAGGUUGCAAUUAUCCAUAGAGUCUGGCUGCAGGCAGUGUCAACAAGUGAGAAGGGUAUCCGGCAUACCUUCCACCAAACAGAGGCUGUUACAAAACUUUGUUUUGUUAACAAAACUCUUUAUAACGCAGUGUAAAAAGUUAGCAUUUAGAAUCACUAUGGGUAAAAAAAAAAAACUAAACAAAACAUUUCUAAAUAGAUUUUUCUAUCGUUCUGUGAGAUGAUCUACUGCACUACACGAUCCUUGAGUCAGCUAUCUUUUAUUUCUGUAUUUUGUUUUUAAAUCUUGUAUUUGUAAUCAUGGAAAGCACAAUUGAGUUACCUUGAAUAGGAAAUGCACUGUAUAAAUAAAGAUGCCUUGCCUUACAGCGUACGGAUGACUUUCAAGUCACCUGUGAUAACAAGACGCUGCCACAUGAUCAGCAGAGUUGUGAUGCGCUUGGAAAGAAGGCAGUGUGCACAGGCUCUCUUGCGCUCAUGCACCUACAUCCUUUGACAGUCACCUCUAAUUCCGCUAUGAGGUCAUAAAGUCCAAAGACAUUGUCAGAUUAAAGACGGUCUCGGGCAAAACUUGGACACCUCCUGUGGCUUCCUGGAGUUGCUUGGAUUUAUGAACAGAGAGAAAUGAAGCGACUAAAUCAAUUAUCUCAAAUUUAAUUCGAUUGUCUUGAGUUUAGACUUGGAUCUGCGUCAAAAUACGAAAUCAAAAUGAAAUCCACGAUGGCCAGUCAAAGAGCGUGUCGUGCUGGUUGUUGCCUCUCAUCCCAGGUGACGAUGACACCUUCACAGGGUUUGCCGUUUGCUCCCCAUACCAUCUUUUCACGCCUCUCAUCUGUGAGUAAGGAUCUUGACACUUUUGUUCCCAGGAAUGCUUGAAUGAUACACGGUGAGCGGCAGCAGAGAGUCGGGACAUUCUAAAAUGCCAUUGUAAAGACCACUUUGUUUCCCCCAAAACAUUGGGACUUCAUUUUCCAACAACAACCACCGGUUCUUUCACACUUUUGAACCCCACCCCCCCCCAAAAAAAUUCCGGAUCUGCUUGAUUACAUAUGAGUUUCCAUGAAAGCGGGGAUGCAUUUCCAACCGCCUUUUUACACUGAUCCACAUUUGUUUCACCCUCCCUCUAAUCAACCCACAGGCCAUUCAUGAGAUUUAUCUCUCCUAACAACUGGCUGACGUGGGGAGGAGAGUGAAGCCUGAAUCACAGAAGGAGAAAGGGGGGCAUGGCCAAACCUGACCUCUGGAUCUUUGCUCUUGGACAUAAUCCCACAACGGAUUGUUUUGCAUAAAAGUGAGAUCCAAAACAAA